rnacentral:rRNA from 1 species
GACGAACGCUGGCGGCAUGCCUAAUACAUGCAAGUCGAACGCUUUUGUUUCACCGGGUGCUUGCACCCACAGAGACAAAAGAGUGGCGGACGGGUGAGUAACACGUGGGUAACCUGCCCAUAAGAGGGGGAUAACAUCCGGAAACGGAUGCUAAUACCGCAUAUUUCCAAUUGUCUCCUGACAGAUGGAAAAAAGGUGGCUUCGGCUACCGCUUAUGGAUGGACCCGCUGCGUAUUAGCUAGUUGGUGAGGUAAUGGCUCACCAAGGCGAUGAUACGUAGCCGACCUGAGAGGGUGGUCGGCCACACUGGGACCGAGACACGGCCCAGACUCCUACGGGAGGCAGCAGUAGGGAAUCUUCCGCAAUGGACGAAAGUCUGACGGAGCAAUGCCGCGUGAGUGAAGAAGGUUUUCGGAUCGUAAAACUCUGUUGUCAGAGAAGAACGUGUGCGAGAGUAACUGCUCGUGCAGUGACGGUAUCUGGCCAGAAAGCCACGGCUAACUACGUGCCAGCAGCCGCCGUAAGAC